rnacentral:rRNA from 1 species
CCUACGGGUGGCAGCAGUGGGGGAUAUUGCACAAUGGGGGAAACCCUGAUGCAGCGACGCCGCGUGAGUGAAGAAGUAUUUCGGUAUGUAAAGCUCUAUCAGCAGGGAAGAAAAUGACAGUACCUGACCAAGAAGCCCCGGCUAACUACGUGCCAGCAGCCGCGGUAAUACGGAGGAUGCGAGCGUUAUCCGGAUUUAUUGGGUUUAAAGGGUGCGUAGGCGGAAUAUCAAGUCAGCGGUAAACAUUCGGGGCUCAACCCCGUCGUGCCGUUGAAACUGAUGUUCUUGAGUGGGCGAGAAGUAUGCGGAAUGCGUGGUGUAGCGGUGAAAUGCAUAGAUAUCACGCAGAACUCCGAUUGCGAAGGCAGCAUACCGGCGCCCAACUGACGCUGAGGUUCGAAAGCGUGGGUAGCAAACAGGAUUAGAUACCCCAGUAGUC